rnacentral:rRNA from 1 species
AGCAGCCGCGGUAAUUCCAGCUCCAAUAGCGUAUAUUAAAGUUGUUGCAGUUAAAAAGCUCGUAGUUGAAUUUCGGGGUUAGUAGGUUGGUCAUGCCUCUGGUAUGUACUGGUCUCACUGAUUCCUCCUUCCUGAUGAACCGUAAUGCCAUUAAUUUGGUGUUGCGGGGAAUUUGGACUGUUACUUUGAAAAAAUUAGAGUGUUUAAAGCAGGCUCACGCUUGAAUACAUUAGCAUGGAAUAAUGAAAUAGGACAUCCGAUUCUAUUUUGUUGGUUUCUAGGAUCGAUGUAAUGAUUAAUAGGGAUAGUUGGGGGCAUUAGUAUUCAAUUGUCAGAGGUGAAAUUCUUGGAUUUAUUGAAGACUAACUACUGCGAAAGCAUUUGCCAAGGAUGUUUUCAUUAAUCAAGAACGAAAGUUAGGGGAUCGAAGACGAUCAGAUACCGUCGUAGUCUUAACCAUAAACUAUGCCGACUAGGGAUCGGAUGAUGUUAAUUUUUUAAUGACUCA